UAAUUCCUACGGGGCGCAGCAGUGGGGAAUAUUGCGCAAUGGGGGAAACCCUGACGCAGCAACGCCGCGUGCAGGAAGAAGGUCUUCGGAUUGUAAACUGUUGUCGCAGGGGAAGAAGACAGUGACGGUACCCUGUGAGAAAGUCACGGCUAACUACGUGCCAGCAGCCGCGGUAAUACGUAGGUGACAAGCGUUAUCCGGAUUUAUUGGGUUUAAAGGGUGCGUAGGCGGGUUAUCAAGUCAGCGGUAAAAUCGUGGAGCUCAACUCCAUCCAGCCGUUGAAACUGAUGAUCUUGAGCGGGCGG
rnacentral:rRNA from 1 species